rnacentral:lncRNA from 1 species
AACUAUUUAUUUCAACUUUUUAAGCAAUAUUUUAUAUUUUAUACAAAAUUAAAUAAAUAAAAAUUAAUAUUAUAGGGACCUAGAGUCAAUUUUGUUUCAAUAUUUUUCACAUGAGAAAAAAAAAGAAUGCAGUGAUUGGAGUAAGAAUGAAUUGAGGGAAAGGCAGAGAUAGAUAGAUAGAUGACGAUUUUGGAGCGACCGGAGGAACAAACACUUACCGGACGUUUCACUUCUCUUGACCUGAAAGCUGCUUCUCGAUAGAGUCGGUGAGGGUCUGUCUCUCUGAGUUGGGUCUUGAGACACCCACACACAUUCUACUGGGGUGAGGUUUUCUUCCUAAGAGUAGUAUCACUUUCUUCUCCCACGAAAUACUCUCAUUAAUUCUCCAUUUCCCCUCAGGUUCGCCCACGAAAGAACGUUCUGGAAGGUUCGAUAUCGCCUGAAGCGGUGAAGGAUCCUCCUCGUACAGCGAGCGUAUCGUGGAGAAUCCUCCAUCGAUCAUACAAUGGUUCUUCAGCCAAUCUCCUGCCACUGUCUAAACGUUCUGGGACUGAGCUAUCUAUUAAGUAAUAUUGAACUGGGCCAAUAUAAAUACAGCCCAAUAGGUGACAAUUUGAUAAUAAUGGUUAAAGGUUAAAUUACAUAUCUAUUAGUGACAACGGUUGAUGAUUAGUUAGACUUAAUUAUUCUAAUGUAAUCUCUAUAAAUACUGGUGUUAGCCUGUAAAUGGUAUACCGAAAUCCGUAUUUGAAUUCGAAUAUGACUAUCCGGAUUCAGAUACCUAAAUUAAUAUCCGAAUUUUAUUUGGACGGAUUCGGAUAUUCGAAAAAUUCACCGUUAAAAUCUAGUGAAUAUUAAUUACAUUAGAGUAUUGGACUUUCCUUAUAUUUGGAUAUCAUUUACAUUGGACUUUUUUGUAUUUAUAUAUCAAUUACAUUGAACUUUUCACAUUCA